rnacentral:lncRNA from 1 species
UCACCCUACUCUAAUAAGGCUUUUGAUAUCUGGAGCUCAUAGGUGGGAGACAGCUAAUAUAUACUUACAAGACAUUUAUUGCAUAGUCAAACCAUGGAUCCAGAAGAACAAGUCAAUAAGUCAAAUCAAGAUGUGCAUGUGUGGCGAAUGAAUGGUGAUAACAACGGUGAAAGUCUAAUUCUACUUAUGCUCUUUUGAGGGGAUACAUACCUUUCUUGCUCUUUUGAAACUUUUUGAGGAGAAUGAGAUGCUCUAUAUUUUCUUUUUCUCUUCUCUCAGGUGGGUAUCUUGUACCCCUAAUUCUACUGUCAGACACUUGUCCAUUUUUACCUCUCGUCUCACUUUUUCUUUUCUUCGAGGUUCCGGGCACUUGCCCCUUUUUAUUUCCUCGUAUCUUUUUUUUAAGAGCACUCAUCUCAUGAGAUAAUAUAGCAAGUGGUAGUAACCAAGAUAACUUGAGCAUUUAUUUUACAGGGAAAAAACAAAAAUGUUUUUGGCUAUUCUCUUCCGGAUUAGGAGUAGAAUAUUUUUGGGUGAUUCUGGAGAUGGAAAUGGGUGGAUAUAUGUGGACGCGUACUUCCGGAGUAGAAGCAGCAUGUGUGAGUGAACGUGCAAGUGAAUCUUGAUUUAACCACAUGACAAGCUCCUAAGGGUCUACACAGCUUGACCACACUCAAUGCUCAUAAGCAGUAAAAUAUAAAUGUGUGGCUCAAAGUCUAGCAAGCAUGUAUAUGGUUGUGGUAGGAAUUUAAACUCUCAUCAUACAGGAACUCAUCAUGCAACAUUUUAAAGAUUUUCAAAGAUAAAAUUCUCCAGAAUUCUAGCAUCUCUAAGAACAGAUAAACAACAGCUCAACCUUCCCAUAUCAUAUCCGUUAACGACUUAGACUUGAGAUCAAGUACUCUUCACACAAGUUCAGGUUUAGAGCAAAUCUUAAUUAAUAACAGUCAUGCCUAAACUUGAAAGAGAUUUCAAUUUUGAGAACUAGUCAUGGUAGAGCAACUAUUCAUCAUUUUCCAUGUGAGAGCUUAUCAUGAGGGUUCAUAGCAAACUUUAUUUAUUUAUUUAUUUAGCAAGCUAAGUAAAGAUAUAUAUAUAUAUAAGCACAAAAUCUUUAUUUGGGUUUUUAUGAUUAUGCAUCUUUUUAUUAUUUGAGUAAAAUAUAAACAUGAGUAGAGCACUUAGCUGGAUAAAUGGGGUUGCUCUCCCCCAAGCUGGGUUUUGACGUAAUUCCUUCUGAUGUAGCUAGCAGGUGGUGGAGGUGUAUUUGAAUGUCAGCAGCACCCUGACAGCGAUUAGGAUGUCCUCCGUAAGCUAGUCUUCUUUGAUCCUUGAAUUCUGUGAAGCUCAAAUAGACAACAAAGCUUUGUGGAACUAGUUAAGUGUUAGCAUAAAUAUCUAGCCUUUAUCAUGUUGAGCCUCCUCAAUAAAUGUUGCACUCUUUAGUAGGAUCAUAAAUUUAUUUUUAUAGGACAGGAAUAUAUUUAUUUUAUUUUUAUGCCACCACAGUGAAUGUACUUAUGGGUUUUAUGCCAUGAGCAUACUCACAUGGGGCUUACUAUUUUUAACAUUUUUAUUUUCUUUUCAAGAUAGCAUGAACUUGAUUAACUAAGCAAACUAUUUUAAAUAAUUAAAAGGAAAAAGAUAACUACCAAGUUUACCUCUUGGCAAGGCGUUCGGUGUUUUUACGUCCUCCGAACGGGACUCUCCGUUUUCUCAAUCGUCCUGGGAUUCGCUGGAUGGCGUAGUCGGUGGUUCCGGCGGCGCCUCCUCUUCGUGUAUAACAUUCUUCUCUCUACACACCUGACUCGGUGCUACGGUCUCCUUAGGACAGUUCUGUUCAAGUUGUAUGUCUUCAGACAUUACCACUUCUCCUUCGUAGUCUACCCAUCCGUCCUUGAUGAUUUGCCUCCUCUGGUUGCGGUUGCGUCAUCGUCUUCUUGUCCUGACCUGCUUAGAGUCUUCAACUAUAUAGUUAGGGUCAGUAAAAUAGUGACGUACCUUCUCAGAGGGGAAGUGCAUGUGGACUUCUCUGGUUCCAAUGUAUAUGAUUGGUUUAACGGUGUUAAAGAACGGUCUUCCAAGGAUGAUGGGUGGAUCGUACUUGUCUUCAAUCUUUCGAAAUGUCUGAUCUGCCAUCUGGAGCUGAAUGUAUGUCGGUUUCAGGGGCAUGGUUCCGAAUAGGAGCUGAUAAGUGACUGCGGCCAUUAUGUUGACGUUAGAUCCGGUGUCGUAGAGUGUCUUCUGAAAAGAAUAUCCGUUGAUUGUGCAGUCGAUGCUUGGAACACCAGGGUCAUCCUUCUUGGUCAGGAACGGUGACUUGAGUUGACGAUCUUGACCUCCUUGAGCUGCAGUGACCAUCUUAGCUGACUCGGUACACAUUUGCUUGUUCUUGUUCCUCCUGUUGGUCCUCUUCCUUGGUUCAUGUCGGGAUUGCUCUAGGAUUUGUGUAGUCUUGUUUCUUGAAGGAAAACGUCUCCUUCCUCCCCUUGAUGUAGAUACUGAUCUUGGCAGUACUAGCUUAGAUGACAGCUCCCGAGGUGUUCAGAAAUGGCCUCCCUAGGAUGAUGGGUGCCCUCUCAUAAGUACCAGUCUCUAUCUCCACGAAGUCUGCUAGGGCGUACAAGGUACCAACUCGGACACAGAGGUUCUUCAAUAUUCCUUUUGGAAAACUUAGUGUAUGAUCUGCAAGCUGCAAACCCAUGGUUGUUUCUGAUAAAGGAUGUGUAAAGAAUUUUUCAUAGAGUACCCUGGGCAUAAUGUUGACGCUGGAGCCAAAGUCGUAGAGUGCUUCUGGGAAGUCCACCAUGCCGAUGGAGAUUGGGAUGACGGGGCGUCCUGGAUCGCCUCUUGACUAGCAGAAGGUCAGUAAUUACUUCUACCAUGGGGUUACUCCAGUAGUUAUGUCCUCAAGCAUCUUAGGGCAGUGAUUGCCUGAGUGUCCAGUAUCUCCAGUCUGUUUGUGCUCAUAGAUACAAGUUCUUCACUUGGUGGAGUCUGGAAGUUGUAAAACUCCUUCAUAUUUUGCUCGAAGUGUACGUGCUCAUAGAGACAAGGCAGAGAUCAAGUGCAUGGGCUCUGUUGGUGGAAAACACCAACAGAACCAAAAGUGUAUUUCUUCUUCUCUAACCUUAAGCAUAGUGAGCAAGACAAAGUUGAUGGAUAAUAAGAUCAUGACUGUAGCAUUUAAAACAUUUGUCAGAUCAGAUUACUCAACCUUAUGGAAAGAUAAUCUAUCUAGAUUUAUGUUUUGUUUAUAUCUUCCAAAGAUUGAAUGUGCAACAUUUUAGGUUAUAUGAUUAGGAGUGUGCAAUCACAAAGGUGGAAGGACUAAACAUAUUGAAUCGAUUGGGUUGGUUAAUCUAGAGUUGUAAAUCAUACAUGUUUGUCUCUUUUAUUCAUGUGAACGCUAGAGCCAAGGAGAAGCUUAUAAAAGUGAUAGUCAAGUACCUUAAGAUGUUACCUUACUUGAAGAGUGAUGGUACAAUAUUACCUUGUGGAAGCUUUCCUUUCUUAGCGGUUAUGCAUCGUGUUGGUGGCACCCUCCAUGGAUCAUCUCUUGUGAGCUAUGUCUUCCUUGUGUAAAUUGUUAAACUUCAUGUGUGUCUCUCUUUGUCUCCAAUGUGAGUUUAUCUCAGGACUUCCCAAGUUGAUGUUGGAAGUUUUUUUUUCUGCAGGGGUUAGUCUGACAAAAUAUCCCAAUGUCUACACAAGCAGUUUUUAGUUCAAUAACCAAACUAGACUCCAUGUCUAAUUAGAUUAAGGAAGGCUGUUUAACCUAAGCACCAUGCUUAAUUUAAAAACCAAUAGAAGUAUGUACAGUACUUCCAAACUAACACUUACUAGGAUAAACAAAGGUAGCGUGAUGGCUUUUAUAGAGAUCUACUCAAGUGGAGAUGAAGUAGUGUGAUUACUAUUUAACAAAUUGAGCAUGUCUCAAAGGUAGGGACAACCAACAUAGCAACAUGGCAAAUGAUGUUUUUAUAUAAAGUACUCCCCCAAGCUUGAAUUUUGCAAAAUUCAAGUUUGGAUGAAUUUAAUUCAAUGUUGUAUGAUGAUUGGUUGUACAUACCUUGUGCUUGUCAUUCAUCCGAUCUUCUUGCUCCAAUCCUAGAAAGGUUAGUGACAAGAAUACCCGAAGGAAUAUUUUUACAAUUAUUCUUAUAUGCUCAACACACAAGGUAAUGUUGCAAAUAAUUCAAAGCUCAUGUUACGAUCUGAUCAGUGCUUAUUUUAGGACACUAAGCUUGUCCUUGGGAAACCAUUAAUUUAUGUCAGCGAAGUGGUUUCCCCUCCAACUCUGACCUAUAUCAAGAUCAACUCAACGAGAUCUACAAUAUUUAAUAUAGACAUAUGCAUCGACAACCGCCCUUUUAAAGUUUUUAUAAAUAGAAAGGAUGAGGGGGUUGGAGAUCUCGAAUGUGGUGAUGUUGGAGAGACCAAUGGAUUGUGACGAUGUUGCAUAUGAGCAUGGAGUAAAUGAAGUGGCUAUGAAAUAAAUUCCAUGCUCAAUAAUGCUUAGAGUGAAAUCCAUGUGGUAUGGUAAAAAUGAUAAGGUGAGUGUGGUAAAAAAGGAAAAGAAAAAGGAUACACGGACGACUUGGUUCGAAACUAGCACAGCUACCGUUCCCGGCAACGGCGCCAGAAAGCUUGUUGGGUAUUUUAAACGCAAACAGAAAAAUCCGCAAGCGCACGGAUACCGAUGUAGCUUUCACCCGGGAGUAUUCCAGAGUAUCGAUUUUCCACAGAGAACGUGAGUGUACUAAUUAAGAUCCAAGAUCGCCCAAGGAUAACUAUAUAACUAUUUUUGGUGGGAAGAGAGGAAGUUUCCUGAGAGUUCUCUAGUUGAUCUAAGAAUCAAGAAUUAUUUCAAGAUUAUCUAUAUCGGGACAUCAGAACACUAACCACGGAAAGAGAUGAGAAGAGGGCUAGGAAGCUCCGACUACGGUCCUACAAACACCGAUCCGAACGUGGUGGAAUACGUCGACCGUUAGGGCUGUCACUACCCUAAGGCUACCACAACAAUCCGCAGGAUUGGGUGCAAUUCCAGGUAAUUGCAAGACUAAACACCAUGUCUAAUCUAUUAAUUACUACUCUAAUGUUUCAAAGAUUAGAGCACUUGAUGCAAGCGGGAAUCCAAUAAAUAACUUGAAUGUAGAUAAAAGUAAUUAGAGAACUCAGGAGUUAUGAGUUGAAGAACCUAGAGAACGAGGAAGAACGAACCAAUUGCUGCAAAAGUACAAUGUUGAGGAAGAUCCGACAGAUCCGGCUCCUCCUCCUCCGCUCUCCUCUUCUCUCUCCCUAUUUUCUAGAUUACAACUAGAACUAACUAGAACUAGAGGAACUAGAACUAGAACUAGAUGAACUAGAACUAGAUCUAGAUGAACUAGAGGUAGAACUAGAAGAACUAGAGGGAUCCUCUCUACUUGGAUGAAGAAUUGAAACCCUAACUUUGAUUCUGUAGAAGAGGUAUGAUCUCCAGGGGCCAGGGGGUCUGGUUUUAUAGUCCCUUCAAGUGAAUCUGGUCCGUCGGAUCAAACUGACAUUAAUCGCACGGUUUUCCUUGAUCCUUUAGGUCGGUGGAGCAUAAUCCGCGAAACGUGUCCUGAUUGGGCACUGUAGCUGGGCGGGCGCCCAGGAGAGUUGGGCGGGCGCCCUGCCUCCGAGCCCGAUUUCCUUCCCGUUCGUUCCCGUGGCUUCUGGAGUCUUCUAGAUGGUAGAAAAUUGCGCGGCACGUUAAUAUCUCUAUGUAAACACGACGUGUGGGCCUUUCUUCCGUAUUUCCUGAUAACCCCCUGUAGAAAUAGACAAACACCAAAACUUGUGGAAUUCUGUCAGAUAAAACCCUAAGUCUAGGUGUUGGUUGCAUUUGGAUCCUUUUCCAUGAUUAAUUGAUGGUUAAAUAUGAGCAUUAAGGACCGUCAACAAGCUCCCCAAGCUUAACCUUUGCUCGUCCCUGAGCAAAGAUGAAGAAAAUAGUUUCUGCAGUGGUUUCAUAACUUAAAGAUACACAUGCGUUUAAACAAGAUCUCAUCUCUGGUUAGAGUAAACUGUUAAGACUUAAACUUACUCAUUUUACCUUCCACCAUGGGGCUUGCAACCGUCACUUGUGUCUUGAGCAGUUAAAAGAUAGAACAGUCUAGUCAAGCGCCAUGUCUCUAGUUCUUCGAUUAACUAUAACUCUGGUGUUUUUGUAGAUUUUCAAAUAAAACUCAGAGAUUCCUUGUAUGACUCUCUCUAGUCUCUCUUUUGUGGUAUUUCUGGAUCCUUACCAAGGCAGUAAAGGUGUAUGCCUUCUCUCAAAGUAUGUGGUAUUUUUGGUAUAAGGCAUAGUGACAUUGCCUUCUCUCUCACCCUACUCUAAUAAGGCUUUUGAUAUCUGGAGCUCAUAGGUGGGAGACAGCUAAUAUAUACUUACAAGACAUUUAUUGCAUAGUCAAACCAUGGAUCCAGAAGAACAAGUCAAUAAGUCAAAUCAAGAUGUGCAUGUGUGGCGAAUGAAUGGUGAUAACAACGGUGAAAGUCUAAUUCUACUUAUGCUCUUUUGAGGGGAUACAUACCUUUCUUGCUCUUUUGAAACUUUUUGAGGAGAAUGAGAUGCUCUAUAUUUUCUUUUUCUCUUCUCUCAGGUGGGUAUCUUGUACCCCUAAUUCUACUGUCGGACACUUGUCCAUUUUUACCUCUCGUCUCACUUUUUCUUUUCUUCGAGGUUCCGGGCACUUGCCCCUUUUUAUUUCCUCGUAUCUUUUU